rnacentral:lncRNA from 1 species
CAUAAUAAUGAUAACCGACUGCGCUUAGAAAUAUUAUUAUUGUUAUGCAUCGUUAUCGACUCAAUAGUUCUUGCUUUUAAAACGUUUAUAAUGCAUGAUAUACAAGAUCAUCACAAUGAUGAUGAACAGCUACCAAAAAUGGAUGAACUUAUGUCAAAAAUGAUGCAUCUAUCAGCUCAUAUAAAAAAUAAAUCGGAGUCAACGUCAAGUACCGAAGGAACGUCAGCUAAACAUAAAUUAAGUUUAAAAAAAGUUGCUAGAAAAAAACAAAAAAGUCAAAAACAUCAACGUGGAAAAAAACGCUCUUCAAAACAUAUUAAUGAUUUUGAAUUUGAUAGUAGUUCAUUUACUGAUUGCACAGAUGAAGAGGUUUUAAAAGAUUAUAUUGAGAAUCUUACAGCUAAUUGCAGUGAUUCAGAUGCUGAAAAUUCUUUAUUUAAAAAAUCUGCUUUUUUGGCAAAGCGAGAUCUUGCAUCAAUUCAGCAUUUCUGUAUACCUUUCCAUGGCAACAAAACUGAAUCUUAUAAUGACAGCAUGUGUUUUCCGCCAUCUCGCAAAAAGAGAAAAAAAUAUAAGCGUCAUUACAUAGAUGGUACUUACAAGUUAUUAAAUGGACAGAUGACACGUAAACAAAGAGAUAAGAUACAUAAUGUUAUAUCCAAUCAAUAUAAAAGAACUUCAAGUUGUGCAUUUAAUGGAAGUUGUCGCAAAAAAUAUGAAUUAGAAGAAUAUUCACAUGAAGAAGAAAUGGAUUUGGAAUCAGAUAAAAGUUUCAAUAUCUCUAACAAAAAGCUGUUAAAACAAGAGGAUCGGGAAACAAAGAAAAAAGUUAUUGAUGAAUCGAUGGAGCUUCCAGAUUCUGAGAAUAGUGAUUCAUCGGUUGGCAGUCCUUGUCUGGAAGCAGAUGAUGAAGGCGAAGAAACCUGUCAUGAGGUUACAAUAAUACCUUGGUGGGAAAAAAAUACUGAAAAUUCUGAUAAUGAUAUGAUGGAUUUAACACAAAAUAUAAGCAAAGGAGAUAUGGCAUCUCGUCUUCAAAAAAUUGGACCACUUAAGGUUGUCAGUGAAUCUGGUGGAUUUAUAGCUUAUGCAAAUCACAAAAUGAAAAGUUUUGUACAUCAAAGAGAUAUUACAGAGUUAUCUAUAUUUACAACAAAUAAAAAAGAAGAGAAACAGGUAAUUCUACUUGCAUCGUUAUAUAAUCUUCAAACAUCAGCGGAAAAUUUUGGUCGAUGCAAUAAAGUUGUUUUUACAAAAACUUUAACAACAAAAGAUGCUGACCAAUCAGCUUUAAAAUCUUUUCUUUCAAGAGAAGUAAAGUUAAGAUGUCGAAAAAAUCGCUCAUCUUUUCAGCAGACUUCAAAAAGACACAAAUUAAGUUCUGAAUCUGUUGUUAAACAUGAGAAUGAUUGCACAGAUAUAAUUGAUAUUCCGAUCCCAGAAUGCAAUAUGGGUAAUAAAAUGUUACAAACAAUGGGCUGGAGUCCUGGACAAGGUUUAGGGAAAAAGAGUGAUGGUAUAAUAAAUCCAGUAAAGGCAAUUAAACGGCCUCGUAAUCUUGGAUUCGGUCAUCCUUAUUCCUAAUUGAUUAUGUGUCAUUUUAUUAAUAUAUAAAGAUUUUAGUUAUA